UUUACAAUUCAAUUAUUUCAACUUUGCUGUCAUUUUGAACAAAAAUACUGAUACAACAGAGGUUUUAAUUCACGAUUAUAUUCAGUAAAAUAUAUUUUCAAGUGAUGGUAUUUUUUGUUCAGAAGCGGGAGUGAAGUUAAACAUUUGCAAUUGUAUGGCAAAAUUAACACCUUGAGCUCCAGUCUCUGAUUUUUUUUAGUUGACAUUUUAGUAGCUUUUGGUUUUUCCUAGCGUAUAUACAAAUUUUGCUUUUGACACUAUGGUUUGCUUUUUUCUAGUAGUAGUAUAGUAGUUUUGUUAAUUUAUACACAAGUAACGACAUCCUAAAACCCUUCUCCCUCCAUUGACGAAGUAUUUUUGAGAAUCUCAUUUAGUGUUGCGACAUUUUCAUUAUUUCUGAUUAACUUUAAUUUUUUGCUUUUGUUAUGGCUUAAUUUAUCGAUUAAUAGUUUUGAAAAACCAUCAUGCAUUGCACUUUGUGUAUCUUGAUGGAAUUGAUAUCAAUUUUGCACUUUUGUGUAUUUUGAUAAGGAUUUAACAAAAUCUUAUUGCACCUUGUGCAUAGGAUUAUUCUCAUUUACAAUAAAAUCAAAACCAGAACACUACAGUGAUUUCUCGUAUGACUUCUGCAAAGGUAAGAAGGGGGAGAGUGGGAUUGCAACUAAAAUGUUUUCUAAUUUCCAUAAUUGUUGUUAAGUGACACAAAAUUCAACAGGUUAAUCUACUUUCGUUAACUUGUGAAUUUUUUGUGUUUUCAUUGUAAAAUCGAAGUUAAAGCCCUGAAAACAUUUUGGUUUGAGAAAUCAGGGACUGCGAUGUCUCAGUGUUUUGGAAAUUAAUUUUCUCCUGCUUUAUUUUCAAUUUGUUUUUACAUUUUAUCAUUUUAACAUUUGGUUUUACCCUUCCUAAAAGUAUUUUGCCAUACAUCUGUAAGUGGUAUUUGUUGGGUUUUGUGUAUUUUGGGUGCCAAGGCAAGCGAUAUUCAAUGUUUGUUAUCACUUAAUGUCAUGUUGUGAGCGUCGGUAAUAUUUUGUCUUGAGUAUCGGUUGUUUUGUGUUCCGUAUCUUAAAAUGUUGGCCUUUUCUAUUUCAUAUCUUUACUUUCGGUCUAACAUUUACCACGUGCAUGCUUACAUUUUAAAAUUGUAUAUUAUUUCUCUGUGAUGUUUAGCAUUAUGUCUAAAUAUAGACUUAAUGCCUGUAUAUUUUGUGCCUUCUUGGAAUUUAUUAUACUUUAUUAGUAAGUUCCAAGAUUUAAAAGAUCUACUGAAUGAUAUAAAGAUUCGAUAUACUUAAUUAUUGAGUUUUUAUGUUAAUUCAGUAGUUAUUUAAAUUGUAUAUGUAGAAUUCUGCAUCUACAAUACUCCAAAAUUAUUGUAAUAUUUAUUGCAAUAAAAUUUUCGCUCUGCAAAAGGUGUAGUUGUAUAUAAUUAUAUACAAUGAGGUAAUUUUAGUGAACAAUUUGAUAGUGUCCAACUUGUUAAUUAAUUUUCUAUCGGUUAAUUAACAUGUUCCAAUUUUUAAUUUCAUUAUCAACAAUUAAAAACAAGAUUAAUAUGGAUUUCAAUGCUUAUUUGACAUCCACAUUUGUUUUCUUCUGGUGAUAAUGUGAUUAAAAAUAAUUUUUCUGACGACGCUACAGAAGGGGUGGCAAUAUAAAGCAAAUUGUGCGUUUGAGGACCUGAUGCAACAUUCUAAUAUUAAAAUAUUUUAUAAAUAGUUGUUUAUAAGAUAUUUUCAUAACUGGGAUUGGCAUCAGUUACACUCAAAGUGACAAUUUUUAUUUAUUUCUUUUUUAUAAAUUUUCAGACACAUUUAGUAAUACAUAAUUGUGUGUUACUAUUUUGUGUUUAUUGUAAAGAAUGGUACGUUUUGAUUGGUGUACUGUAUUUUAAAUUGCAGUGAGUAUAAUUUGGCUUAGAUUUAUGUUAUGUAAAUCUUUCCAUUAUUGACUUAUUUUUUUAUACUAUUUUUUGAUAGUAUUUGUACUUCAUACGUAUUUUUGAAUUUCAUUCUUUUCAGAAAUUGUAGUUACACACUAGUUUUUAGUGUGUAAUGAGGUAAAAUUUACAUCUGGUUAGGUUAGGUUAGGUUACCGGAUGAACAUAAAUUUUAAAUUUUUAUAUUAUAUUCCUUUAUUUGUGAUUUUUUAAUUUUUUGAGUUAAUUAAAUUUUUAACUAUUUGUUGUUAUAAUUAGAGGAAUUACCGUUUAGGAAUACUCUGGAUUUGUAUAAUUAUAAAUAGUUGGAGAUUUAUUUUAACUCUAAAAGUUAAAAUAUUGCUGGGAAAUAAAUAUUCUGUAAAAUCAUCUAAUAUUUAAUAUGUUUAUAACCUAAAGUAUUUAUUUUCAAUCUGUUUUCCCCUUUUUGUAAUUUUUAAUUUUUUUCAGUUAAUUAAAUCUUUAAUUAUUUUUAGUUAUAACAGAAAGUAUUACCGUUUAGGAAUAUUUUUCUGUUCUCUAAUUAUAAAUGGUUAAAGAUUUAUAAUAUCUUAGAAAAUUUAAAAUAUUGCUGGGGUGAAUGGAUGAAUUACGUGUGCAGAAUUGUCGGACAUUUAAUUUUAUUAUGUUUCAAAUUAUUUGAAAAUUUUCAGCUAAAAUUCUACAUGCGAUAUUUUUUGUGUUUUUUAGGUAAUUUAAAUCUAUUGACUAUUUGUAUUUUAUAUGAAAAGUUCAAUUUUGAAAACUUUCUUAAAUACUAAUAGUUUAGAUUUAUAUUACUUAAUGUAACUCAAAAAAAUUGCAAAAAAUCUCAACGAAUACAAAAAUGUUGGUGUUUCACCAAUGUAAAAAGUACUCUAUUUACUCAACAUGUAGGGUAUGUGGUUUUCUAAAAAUACUUGUUUGUUACUUACAUUUUUCCCAUUCAAGUUAUUUUUAUAAAUAUUGCAAUUAAAAUUAUUUUGUGGAUUUGUAAAAAUGCUUGUUUGGUUGCGCAUAUUCCAGGAAUUAUUCAAGUUAUUUUUAUGAAUUUUAAAAUUUAUACAUAUUUUGUGGAUUUGCAAAAAUACUUGUUUAGUUGCUUACAUUUUUGCAAUUACUCAAGUUAUUUUUAUAAAUAUUGCAAUUUGAACUUAUUUUGUGGAUUUGUAAAAAUGCUUGUUUAAUUAUCCAUAAUUUUGGAAUUAUCCAAGUUAUUUUUAUAAAUCUUGCCAAUACAUUUAACAAUUCUGAUUUUUUGCAGGGUGAUAUUUUAAUAUUAAUAAUAUUUUUUGAUAUUAGUAAUAUUAAAAUGUUUUUUACUUUUAAAUCGCAGUGCGAGUAUUUUAUGUUUAAAUUAAUUAAGAAAGCUCUCUUGAUUGCAAUGGUUUGCAAUGAUUAGUGUUUUUUUAAUUAAUUUAUGCAAACAGUGUUAAUUAUUUCAAUGUGUUCUUUUACAGUUGUUUCUUAUAUUUUUAUGGAAAUACAAUCUUUAUUUUCGUAAAAAUGUACGACUGCACAUUAUAAAAUCAUUUUAUUGUAUUUUAAAUUGUUAUUCAAAUGUUUUUAUUAAAAGUGAUUAUAUUAUUAUAUUUACUUUUCUUCGCUUCGUAGACAUUUGUUGUCUAUCAAAUAGUCACAACUGGUAAAGUAUAGUAGUCACGAAAUCGUGGAAAUUUUUGGAGAGUAAUUAAUUCUUUUAAUUUUUUUAAAUGUAAUUAGUUACUCUUUGUCAAUUUGCAUGCAUAAUAGGUUUUUAUGUAAAUUUUUAUUGAGUUAUUACUCUUGGUUGUUUUGAGCUAAUUGAUAAUUAUUCUUUAAAAAUUUACAUACCCACUCGUUUUGUAGUUGUUUAAUCUUUGAUUAAGCAAUGAGGUAUAAUAUUGAAAUACUAGAUUCAUCUUCACAUCAAUUUCAAGCAAAGUUUAAAAAUUUUAUAAUUGUAUAACAUUAUACUUUACUAAUUUAUGCAAUUUUAAAAUUUAAUGAAAGCUUUGCCUGAAAUGUUCGGAUGUUCGAUUCAAUUUAAAUCUAAUUGGAAGAAACUAUGAGAGUUUCUUUUGAUAUAGUAAGCAGGCCAGCUGUUUCUGUGAGGAAACAACUGGACUGGGUGGAGGUGGGCAAAUCUUACUAUUCAAAGUAAAUUUUCAAAAGACGUAUGAAAAAUCUAAUAACCGUAUUAGAGGAGGAUCCGGACUUCAGGAGCAAAUGUCCCAGCUGCGAGAGGAGGUUCAAGUACCGAUCUGGACUUCUGCGACAUCUGGCCAAUUGUUAUUGAAGACGCUCCAUUUCAUUAUUUACAUCUUCUCACUUGCCUCGUCCACCAAUCCUGAUUUCCUCGAGAGGAUAUGGAGUUGUCUUAUUGGUGAUGGUCUCAGUGGUCCAGACGGUAUCCUGUUCUUCCUACGUCGUUUUCAACGAAAAUUAAUGCCUGUAAUACAUGGUGUUUAAUAAAAUAGACUUAAAAUAA